UGAGGAAGAGCUUUGUGUGUGUCUUCCUACCAUUCCUGCCAGGAUAUCCAUUUUGUGUUCAUCGAAACAGGCCCAGGUUUCACACUAAGUACUUGGUGCCCUACGCACUCUGCGUAAUCUGCGUAUAGGGAGCCGCGUACCUGCCCCGGAAUGUGAGCCCACCUGUCUCGUGUGGCACGUGGACCUCCGGAUCAAAAAACCCAAACUCUCCCAUCAUCUCCUGGAACUCUCCAGGCCCAAGACCACCCACCCUCACUUCCAGAAC
ensembl:lncRNA